rnacentral:lncRNA from 1 species
UGAGUGCAACAAAAAGGUGAAAGAAACAUCAAUUACUGUUACAGCACGCCCCUUCCUUCAAACUCUGCGGCCACCUACUCACAGUCAUGCUAUAGUACAAAGUAGCGGUCUUUCAGCCGCACACCUUAUACCUAAUCCUAUUCCUUCACUUGUAAGCUCUCUUAUGGAAUUAAGAUAGUCAAGUAGCCAACUUCACUUAAAAAAAUACAACACCAGCCAUAAUUCUUUUCCUUCUUUUAGGCGCACCAAGGUUCAGAGAGGGAGGGUUGUUUCUUUUAACUCCAGCCUUGAUUUCGAAGAGGUAAGUUGUAGCUUGAACUUCCCCAUUCUUCCAUAGUUCACCUGCAUUCGUUAAGGAAUCAUUUUUAUUUCAGUUAUUCUCCUUCUGAAAUCAAUAGCAGCAGCCACCAAACACCAAACAAUUACAAGGUAAUUGCUAAACUCAGUUAUUCUAGUCAAUGUUACAUGCUCAUACCCAUCAAGGCAUCUUUUAACAAAAAAAUACUGAGUUCAUAAAUGAGUCUAUAUACUUAAGGGGCUUAGCAAUCACAAAGUCAGUAAGAACUCUUAUGAUAUAGAAACAACUACAUGCUUAGUUUAAUCUCUUGCAUAAUCGAAAAUAGGAAUCAAGAUGAUUUAUGGCCUGCACCAAAUUGGAAAAACAACUAGGCGUCGCGAACCAUGUACAGAUAUGCAAUAGAGCCUCCCAGCAACAUAUAUGCAAUAAUAAAAUGGCAGCAAGAAGUGAGUGACGUAUACAAAACAAAUCCCUAUUAUACUGUAGAAAUAAGUUCGAACUUAGCUUUGCCUUGAAUGAUGCUGGCUCGCCGGAGUUCGAGCAGGGGCAGCGAUGGUUCAGAAGCCGGAGCAGCGGCUUCAGCAAGAUAGUAUCUUGCUGAAGAAUGGGGAGAGCGGCGCCAGGGACAAACGGCGACCGCUAGUCGCUGGGUUUACAGACCCAACAACGACGACUGAUCUGCUACAACACGGGGAAGAGAGGAGCAGUCGAAUUUGUUUCCGGUUGAGUAAUUUAGCGUCGGCCUCGCCGGAUUUUCAGAUUCGAGGUGACGGCGCUGCGAUUUCAGAGAAAGAGCCAAGGGCACGACGACUCCCAACGACCCUCGCCGAUUCUGAACCAGCAGCAGCGUAGCUGAACCGAGAGGGGACGACGCCGGGGUUAGACACGGAGACAGCCAACGCUGGAUGGAGCUGGCGGAAGUUGAACGGCCGGGGAAGGAGAAGCCGACUGGAGUUGAAAGGGAAGGCCGAUCUGAUUUUGGGGGAGAAAACCCGUUUGAAACUUCAAGGGAGAAUUGGGGCUUUGCUUUUCCUUCGUGGAAGAGACGAGGAGCGAGGCGGGCUGCUGGAGAUCAGACCAGCGACCUCGAUUCCGGGCAAAGCAGCUGCAACUCCGGGCGGCGGCGUUACCUCAGCAGCGGCGACGUCCGGCGAUAGAGCUUCCACGCGUGUCGGCGGACGGCGGCGGUUGCACCAGAUCUUCACCGAUAUUAGAGGCAUCGACCACGCCGGUUGAGAGAAGCGGCACUGGAGUUUUAGAGCCUCGGAAACAGCGGCCUGCUUCGCCGGAGAAGAUCCGCGACGGCGGCGAUUUGAGAAAUGAAGGAGUUAGGGUUCAAUUCCUGAUUUUGAUUGAGCAUAACUUGAGUAGAGAGAAGACAAGGCCGUUGAAGGCGUAGGCUUCGCCGGAUUAUCAGGAGCCGCCGCCGCGACUGCGACAAUCGACGAACGGCGACAGAUUUGGGCAUGUGCCUGUGAACGGAACCAAGCGAGAGAGGGAGAGGUUUGCUGCGAGUGUGUGUGUAAUUAGAGAGAGGAAGACCGAUUGAUGAGAGAGAGAAAUGGGCUGAUUGGAAUUGGGCCUUUAUUUUCUUAAUUAUGGGCCAUUAUUUUAUUUCUUUCUGUUAGGUCAGUUUAUUUAUUUCAGAUGGGCCGCAUUCUUGGACCAGUAUUAAUAGAAAUGGGCUGAUCUUUUUAAGAGCUGUAUAUUUAAGCUGGGCCAGAGUUAGAAUGGACUGUAUGAUUAGAUGGUUUCCAGGCCCAGUUCCUUAUCUAUUUAUUUGGGCUGUCCUAUGUUGCUCCCUUUAAAUAAUGAGGUUGCCUUAUUAUUUUAUUCUAGUUCGAUUAAAG